UGUCUUUAUGAGACAUUUAAUAAGACAGUUUGGGUCGGCUCUGUCAAGGUCACAGAUCAGCCAGGUCAUUAGAAAAUAGCACUUAGUGCUGCACUUUAAGGUUUGCAGACAGGCAUCUAAAGCCCUCUUUCUUACCAUCUUCUUACACCUUCCUCCCCAAUCACAGUGGCCUCUCGGCUGCCCCGUGAACAAAGCCCUCCAUCAGCUUUGAGUAUUCUUUCUGACGGUCCCCCAUGCCUCGCUGCUGAUCUCCCUGGCUUCCUUUAAGCUCCGACUAAACUCUUGUCUUUCACAGGAAACCUUUCCCAAUGCCUCUUAGUUGCAGUGUCUUCCCUCUACAUCUUGUAUUUUGUUUGCAAGCUGUCUCCCCAUUAGAUUGUAAGCUUCUUGAAAGUAGGGACUUUCUUUUUCCCCUUUUUUGUAUUGCCAGUGCUUAGCACAUAGUAGGUGCUUAAUGUUGAUUGACUGAUACUGAUAUUACAUACCAUCUACAUUUAUAGAUUGUUUUCUUUUUCUUAACUACAAUUAUAUGCCAAAAUACUUGACAAAAUCACAAUUUCAGAAGUGGGUGGCACCACAUAUGUUGCAGUCCAACCUCUUAUUUUUAUUUACAAACAUUUAUAAAGCUCCUACUACUCUGGAAGCCUGUGCUGUGUUGGGGAAGCUGCCAAGCUUUGUUAUCACCUCUGCCUUCAGGUUGCUUUUGGUCUAGGAGACGAGAAAGCAGGAGGGGGAGGGGAAAGGGUCCAGACCCAGUGAAGGCCUUGCGUUGGCCACUGAGGGAGUGGAGUAUACUUCUACUUCACCACCUGUUGUGCUUAUGGUAAAAGUGUUUGUUUCAGGACCGAACCAGAGUUGAAACAUCUACAAGUAAAAUAUGAGGAACUUAAAGAAAGAAAAUCUUCUCUCACAGAAGCAGCAUGGUUUUUAUCUAAUUUGAAACAGCUUCAUCAUGAUUAUGCAGCUCUUAAAAGGAAAACCCCAACAGAGAGAGAAAAAUAUGACCUGUCCAGCUUGCCAGCUCUGCUGUUUGAAGCGAGAGGCAUUUCAAGAGCGGCACAACACCUGAAAAAGAUCAACUGUCACCUUCAACAGCUCGUUGACCACAAAUGAGAGGGAACCUGCCUGAUGUAUACCUUGGAAUAAACUUUUUUAAAUUUA